UACAGAGGUCUCAAGCGUUGUUCGGAUUCAUUGGGCGUAAAGGGUGCGCAGGCGGCGAGGUGAGUCGGACGUGAAAUCCCGGGGGCUUAACCCCCGGAACUGCGUUCGAUACUGCCUUGCUUGAGGACUGGAGAGGAGACUGGAAUUCCUGGUGUAGCAGUGAAAUGCGUAGAUAUCAGGAGGGAACGCCAAUGGCGAAGGCAAGUCUCUGGACAGUUCCUGACGCUCAUGCACGAAGGCCAGGGGAGCAAACGGG
rnacentral:rRNA from 1 species